GAAAAAAACCGCACGACCCAUGACCCUGCCCCAAUCCCAUCUUCCACCUCCAGCGCGCCGCCACCCUCGCCACGCCGCCGCGCGCCGCCUACCCCACCCACGUGGCCUUCCACCGCCGACGACAUUCGACGCUGCAUCCGUUGCCUGCUCCCCCAUCCCUGCUACCACGGCGCCGCUUGGACUCCAUCCCACUGCUUCCACCUCGGCAAUGGUUCCCCCAACCCCGCCGGCUUCGCCAUCCCGACGCACUCCACCACCCGUUAGACCAGUCUGCCUGGCUCCCGUGGCGACGGCGCACUCCACCACCCAUUGGACCAGUCCUCCUGGCUCCCGCGGUGAACAUCGCUGCAACCCCGCUGUCGCUUCCCACCACAGCCGCUGGCCUACUCCACCUGCACGCCACUUCCCGACUUCCCCUUGACGCGCCGCGUGCUCUCUAGCCUCCGGCUAGCUGUGACGCGAGGUGAGCUUGGUUGCUUAGCAAAGUGUGUGCAGGCCAUAUCGCUUCAGAGGAUUGGAAGUCAAAAUCUUGUAGCUAUAGGCUGUAGCUCUUCGGAUGAGAUGGGAGUGGAUGAGAAGAUCAGAUCCUAAUAUACCAUGGCAAGGAUUACUGGAAGCGGUGGAUGAUUUUGUACGUCAGCUCUUUAAUAGUUUGAUCAUAUUGAGUGAUGUGGGAGAUGGGCGUACAACUUUUUUUGGACUAACAAAUGGAUGGAAGGCUUUGAUGUUAGUGAUUUUGCGCCAUCCUUACUACUGAAGAUCAGUCCGCGCAUCCUGAAUAAGUUCACAGUUUGGGAAGCUCUCCAUAACCAUCGAUGGCUGCAAGAUAUUGCUAGUAUGGCGAGGUCCAUCCGAACGAACAGGUUCAGCUGGGCACCUUAUGGACAGUUCUCAACUAUGUCCAACUUGACAAUGCUAGACCGGAUGUGUUUCAAUGUUCCGGUGGCGCAUUGUGUUGGUCAUAUUCGUGUCCUUCUGUGACCUGACUCAGCUUUGCCAAUCUAGCCUGAGUUCCUCUUCAAGGCAAUGCUUACUAAGUUCGUUGUGUGAAAUUUACAGGAGUUAUUUGAAGAAUGGACUCACUAUGCGGCUAGAUGUUCCCAUUGGAUGCCCUUGCAAGAAGUAUUGUUGCGGUGGGUACAGCGCCACGGCCCCUCCCGCAUCAACACGCUGGUCCUCCAUAUGCAAAGGCCUAUGCAAAACUUAUAUCAUUUUCUGAACAAAGAAUGGACUCAUAUGCUAAUGUUGAUGCCCAAGUUUCCUUUGAAAGUAGUUCAAUAAUAAUAUAACACCAAUGUACGUAAUUCUAGUUUUCAUUCCAGUGUAGUUGCUACUUCAAAGACGCACACGGUCCACCCAUACGAUGCUUCUAGCUCUUCAGAUUUUACACCAUCGCUCCAUGUGGGAGGAGAAAUUGCUAUUGUUAUUCUGGUGAAAGCUGCAUUGGAGAAGAGUACGUGCAAAAGCAAUCAUGAUGCACGGUAAGUCCUCCUACUGAUUUCUGAACAAAAAACAGUCAUGAUGCCCUCUUCGUUGCUGAUAUUCUACAAUUACUGGAGUUGCAAUUCUUGGCAUGAUCAUAUGUGUACGCAAUGUGAAUAUACACGAGGUGGCGUAGCAGGAGUAGAAAAAGUGCAGCUCAAAGUGAGUGCACCUGUAUAAUUUCCUAGAAUUAUUUUCUUGGCAGAAGUUACUAUCUUCUCAUUAUGUAAUAGGACUGUAAAUUUAAAGAAGUAGAAAUUCACAAUUAAUACCAGUGUUAUAACUUAGGAGAGGCUCAUGUGGAUCAACUGUUUUUCUCAGCCCAUGGGAGAUUGUCGGUAAGAUCAAGCCAUACCGCCCCCUUUGCACCUUGCUAUAUUGCAAGUCUUGAAAAGCCUUCUAGGUAACAGUAGCAGCAUUGUGAAGGAGGGACAAAAGUUUUCUGUUCCUUUUAUUUGGAGGUUAAACUUUGAAUGAGAACAGCUUGGUCACAACACGCAUGAUGAGCUAACUAAGACUGAUUUGAUCUUCUGGUUUAGUUUUCUUCCUUAGUCCCACAUUAAUCUAUUGAAUUUACUUUGUUCACUGAUGGAUUCACAAGGAUAUGAAGAAUCAAUGAAUUAAUAUCUUUUGAGGUUAGAUUCCUGAUGCACUUAGCUAGAUAAACUAUAUUUUAGUACAAGUUGAUUAGUGAAUUAACAUUGUGUGUUGAUGAAUAAAAUAAUAUGAAUAUUGUCAUGUUUGGCAUUUCAUCUCUCCAUGCUCUCCCAAGUGUCGCCUCCUCCCUUGAUUUAAUUUAUUAUUUAAUAAGAUUAAAAUAAUAUGCAUACAAGCAAAAACAUCCCUAAUAUAAAAAAAUGGUUGACCUGGUGGUAUGCUAUUUGAGCUCAUGUCAUGGAAUUAAAGAGGUUGAACUCAGCAGUCAAGUAUUAAUAGCAAACGACUUCAGUUCAGCAACAUGUAUUGGACAUUUGUUAGUCAAGUAGUAUCAUGAUUAGUUCAUGAAGGUAAAGGCUUUGUAUAGGGGGUCAAGGAAUUUUGAAGGUAAUUUACACAUAGUUGAGUUGACCAAUUGUUGGGUGGAGGAGUAGGAGGAUGAAGACAACGUUUGGGCGCCUAUGCGUUGCCUCAAGGGCCUUCUUGCCCUUCAUUGGCGUCCAGUAGGGCGCGUGCUCACUAAGGUUGACAUGUCCUGCCGGCUGUGGGGGCAUCAUGGUGAUGGUGGACAAUGGACAAAGAGGUGGAUCCCUGGCAGGAUCGUAUACAAUGUUUGUGUAUGCAUUGUGACGUCGGUGUGCAUUUGCAUGAUGAUGAGAUCAACUUUCUCUCCCCGUUGCAAGUCAAUUGCUUGCGUCGGUUCACCAUAACUCUAUUUUUUUACGAUCAUUUUGUUCACCGUCAUCCUCUUUUUUUAUGAUCGUAUCGUAUGUUGACCCUCGCUGGUUUUCCGCUCAAUCCGUUUCUAAUGUUUGAGAUCGAACGAGAGAGACGAAUGAAUAGUAAGGCAAAAACGCUUGAUCUCUUUCAUUAAUGAUUAGGCUUAUAUACAAUCUGAGAGGACGCAAUAGAGAGAUGCGUCCGUUCCCGAACAGCGCAUCGAGGGAUGCGAUUGUUGCGGGUGUCGGUUGGAACAAGGGGAGAUUUCCCUUUAAUUAAGUGUCAUAAUUAAAUCCUAACAAGAUCAUGUGUGUGAGCCAUGUGCCGAGGAUUAACAGGAGGCCUAAAUUGUUCGGAGAAUGUAUUUUUUCCUAAACCCUGGUGACUACCUAUCGGCUGUCAUUGUUCGAUAUCAUGUUGCUGGUAUGCGUUUUGGUGUAGCGAAGCACAAGUUGUCGUGCUACCACAUACACACCAAUUUAUUUUCCCGUUGCAACGCACGGUCAUAUUUCCUAGUCCUAGUCUCUCCCUAAUCUUUCCCUAAUUAAUAAUAAAGCACGGAUUGACUCCGUGGAUUCACCAUCACAAUACGCUUCUUCUCGUGAAUUUACGCUUUCAGUUUUUUUUCAACAUGUCUAUAUUUUUUCCAAAAUCCAAGGUGGUACUAAUCUAUCUAUGUUUAUAUGUAUAUAAGAAAAACCUGAGAAGGUAAAUCCUCUUUCUUUCCGUGUCCAACUAUGCCAGGUCGUCCGUCGUCCGUACUAUGCCAGGUCUUCUACGUCGUCCUGCACACAUCCGACUUCUUUUCUACCGGUGCUGAUCCGGACUGCUUUUCAUACCAGUGUCUAUCCGAUUUUUUUUGUAUAAAAGUGUAGGCACCUAUAACCUCCGUACCUGUCCUCUCGCUCCGUCCACGAAGAGGAGAGGAGUAUCUGCCCUAUGGACGCCGUCGCCGCACUCCUUUGUUGUCGUCGGACACCGACCCAGAGGUGCUUGCCCCUCGAGGUCGCGUUGACGCCGACUCGGCCACCUCCUAGGAUGCGGCUCCCCAAUGACGCCGCCGCCCCAGGGUUCACACCGGUGCCGCCUCUCCAGUCCUGGCUUCAGCCCCUCUCACCGUAAACCUCAGCAAUGGCUCCUGCCCACGCAAAUACCCGCCGCCAUGAGCUGCGCACGGAUGCCCUAGAUGGCAGCUACGACGAUGGCCGAGACGCUUAUCCUCCACCGCUACCUCCUGAGAACCCGUGGGCCGUGGCGAGCUCCCUUCCCAGUUCCCACUACCCCCGCCACCCUGGCCGGCUCGUGCACGUGACCAUGGUGAUGUAGGUUUGCAGGGGAUAUGAGUUGCUCUGAUUCCUGAACCCGUAGAAGCAGUGUCGCCUAGCUGGCGAUGCGGCAGGCACAAGGAAGAUCCUAUACUAAUCUUUCCCAUCCCCUUGCAGCAAGCUGCGUAGGCCCCCGCCACCGGCUCACAGCCUGAACGGAGCCCCAGUUGGCUCGCCCUUGCUCUCCACCUGUGGCGCCGGUGGCGUGUGCGCAACGGAUGAGGCCCCGCACUCACGCUGCCGCAGUGUGGAUGGAGCUCCGCCGAGUCCAUGAGCUCCCGAGCCGGGCGACGGCGCGUAUUGAUCUGAAAAAGGCCACCAACCCAAUGCAGCCUCUCCCCACUCCCUUUCUUCUCCAUAUUAUAAUAUCCUUUGAUAUCAAGUUCUAGCUGUACAUUAACCGAAGCAUCUCUUUUCUGAUCAGUUAUACAUCAAACAAAGCAUCACUUUUCUGAUCAAUUAAGGAAAACAUGUCAGGAUGGUUGAUGCUUGAUGCAGCGGAGAGUCACAUGUGCAUUGCCGACAGUUUCAAUUUAAUCGGGCUUCCGACUGGAGGAACAGAAGCGACUCUCCGUUCUCCAGCCAUUAAGUUCAUUACUGAAUAACAAAAUCAGCUUCAGACCUAAGGUUUGAUCAGGAAAAUUCAGCUAUGUCUAUCUAUGUGCAUUGGUCUUAAUUUUUUUAGAUGAGCAAAUUGUCUACUUCCAUAGGAAGUGGAUGGGAUGAUCUACAUAGCCUCCUGCAGCACCGGAUUCAAGGAAUCAGUACAACAGUGUGGCCUCUUACUAGACAGUUUUCUUCUCUCUGCUUUCGAGAAUGCUAGACACUUUUCAGUUUUCUUUGAUGCUGAUCUAAAUGUUUAAAUAUCUGGAUGUGUUUUCUUGAAUACAGGUUCGAUCUUUGAUUAUCUGCAUAGUAUAUCUAACCACUCUGACUUUCCUUUAUUAUUAAGAUGCAUCAAAUCGCAAUCCCCUCCGAGAGGAAGGGCCAACUCAACAUCCAUGUACGAGAAUCUCUGUAAUGUAGUUAUGUGAACUAGAGGUGUGGUUUAGCAAUGUACCUCAUACACGGCUGGUUGAUGAUAAAGAUAUCUCAGAGAUGGAGGACCUCGUAACCGACCAUGUUGGAAGCUUGUGAAGAAAUAGUAUGUUGCUGUAUGGAGGAAUCCUUUAAAUAACUCUUGCUACAUGAGUCAGUGAUCCUGAGGCAAACCUCCACUUUGUGAUAGUGAUGAUAAUUCCAGAUAAUGUUUGGUAUUUUUUUAACCCAUCUAAUCUACUUUUAUUAGUUAAGCCUCAAUUUGGUUUGAACAUUUGCAAUAAUACUAAAUUCAUAAAGAUGAUCUUUACGGUUUAAAUAAACUGUCUAUGGUUUUUCUAGAAUUGUUCUGAACAUUGGCAUAAUUAUACAUUCAUCUCUUGCGGAGUAGUCUCAUGAUUUUGACUUAUUUUUUCCUUGUUGGUGAUUCCUAAAUGUGUGAUACUGAUACAUAUUGCAGUUUCGCUUCAGAUGCAACCUUCAACUAUAGAGGUUUCAGUUUCCUGAUGGCCGAUUUCUUCUUUGCGAGUCUUCCUUUUUCUUAUGUUCACAAGGUGUACAAUUGUCUAUAGUAUUUGCCAAGUUUAAUCUAAUGUCUAGAUAAAAAAAUUGCAUGCCAGGAAAUAAGAAAGUAGCAUUUUAAGGUGAACUUUGUAUGAAUCCUCCCGCUCCCGCCAACCCAUUCUUCAAUUAGUUAGAGUCACGAUGUAUCAAUUUUGCCAUGCAAGACGUUAUGAUAAAAUAGACGAUGUAGACUGACUAUGGGUCUUGAGCCUUGCUUAUUGGGA